GGUUGUUUAGCUCUUCCAGUAUGAAACUCGACGUUGGAAAAGUUUGGCUCGAAGCGAAUGACCCUCUCUAGAAGUGACCAGACGCCUCUUUGUGUUCUCCUUUCGGCGACCAUCAACGGUUUUUUUCUCCAUUAUUCCGCCGUGUCCGUGUAAAAAUGAUUUGUAAUAUAGCCAAGACAAGAUGGAAUUUAGAGACUCCAACUUAAGGAGUAGAGCUAUUAUUAUUAAUGGCUUUAUUUAUCAUGACCUUAUGGCUUUAUUAUUAGUGCAUUUGUUAGCACUGGAUCACAAUCUGUUGUGUUAGGCAUUUUGUACUUAGUUUAAUUACAUACUCUGUAUAUUUAAUUAAUCAAUUAGUUAAUA